UGGGGAAUCUUGCACAAUGGAGGAAACUCUGAUGCAGCGACGCCGCGUGAGCGAAGAAGCCUUUCGGGGUGUAAAGCUCUUACGCCAGGGACGAUGAUGACGGUACCUGGAGAAGCAGCUGCGGCUAACUACGUGCCAGCAGCCGCGGUAAUACGUAGGCAGCAAGCGUUGUUCGGAAUUACUGGGCGUAAAGGGUGCGUAGGCGGCGCUUUAAGUUUGGUGUGAAAUCUCCCGGCUUAACUGGGAGGGUGCACUGAAACUGGGGCGCUCGAGUAUGGGAGAGGAAAGCGGAAUUCCUGGUGUAGCGGUGAAAUGCGUAGAGAUCAGGAGGAACACCUGCGGUGCAGACGGCUUUCUGGACCAUCACUGACGCUGAGGCACGAAAGCGUGGGUAGCAAACA
rnacentral:rRNA from 1 species